AUGCAGGAAACUGAUACAUAUUUCACACUCAUGGCAGAGAAAGGUAGACGGCCAUAGUGUAAAUGUGAUACUUUGUAUCAAUGGGUAUCCGUUUGCAAAGCCGGAAACUACCAUCCCAUGAGAGUAGUUACAAUGGAUAGAUAACCUUUAUUCGUAAUUGUUUCCUCGUUGCCCUGGAUAUGUUGUUGGUGUCCUUGGCUUGCGCUCAGCGGUUUGCAGGGGGCACGCGGGGGGAGGGGUGUUCCCGACCGGAAUUCUACAGGAGGACGAUGGAGGGGAUGCCGCGGUGCGCAUGACGACGAAACGUCAACCAGAUGAUGCCCCAGUUUUUCCACGAUCCACAUUCAAGCCCAUCUUUCAACAUUUUCAGGGCAAACAACAUAUGGAGGUUGUUGUAUCGACAUUGCAACUGUAGCUGUGAUGAAAUGUGAGACCCCGUUCGGGCGUCCCAGCUAAUUUACAAUAGCUAAAAUGUCACAUGGACCCUAUUGAUAAAUUACACUGAACAAAAAUAUAAACGCAACAUGGAAAGUUUGAUCCCAUUUUUCAUGAGCUGAAAAAAAGAUCCCAGACAUUUUCCAUACGCACAAAACGCGUAUUCUACUUUUAAACGGAGAUGCUAGUUCUUGGUCCCAAGAAACAAAUAGUUCUUCUGUUGAAUCUGACAAUCAAUCUUGAUGGUUGAACAUUCGUCUCAAAUACAACUGUGAAGGACCUCGGCGUUACUCUGGACCCUGAUCUCUCUUUUGACGAACAUAUCAAGACUAUUUCAAGGACAGCUUUUUUCCAUCUACAUAACAUUGCAAAAAUCAGAAACUGUUUUGGACAAAACUUAUGCAGAAAAAUUCAUCCAUGCUUUUGUUACUUCUAUGUUAGACUACUGCAAUGCUCUACUUUCCGGCUACCCUGAUAAAGCACUAAAUAAACUUCAUUUAGUGCUAAACACGGCUGCUAGAAUCUUGACUAGAGACAAAUAAUUUGAUCAUAUUAUUCCAGUGCUAGCCUCCCUUACACUGGCUUCCUGUUAAGGAAAGAGCUUAUUUCAAGGUUUUACUGCAAACCUACAAAGCAUUACAUGGGCUUGCUCUUACCUAUCUUUCCGAUUUGGUCCUGCGCUACGGUCACAAGAUGCAAGCCUCCUUAUUGUCCCUAGAAUUUCUAGGCAAACUGCUGGAGGCAGGGCUUUCUCAUAUAGAGCUCAAUUUUUAUGGAAUGGUCUGCCUAUCCAUGUGAGAGACGCAGACUCGGCCUCAACCGGUACCAAUCUUUACUGAAGACUCAUCUCUUCAGUAGGUCCUAUGAUUGAGUGUAGUCUGGCCCAGGAGUGUGAAGGUGAAUGGAAAGGCACUGGAGCAACGAACCACCCUUGCUGUCUCUGCCUGGCUGGUUCCCCUCUCUCCACUGGGAUUCUCUGCCUCUGACCCUAUUACAGCGGCUGAGUCACUGGCUAACUGGUGCUCUUCCACGCCGUCCCUAGGAGGGGUGCGUCACUUGAGUGGGUUGAGUCACUGAAGUGAUCUUCCUGUCUGGGUUGGCGCCACCCCUUGGGUUCGUGCCGUGGGGGAGAUUUUCGUGGGCUAUACUCGGCCUUGACUCAGGAUGGACCUGAGCCCUAGGACCAUGCCUCAGGACUACCUGGCAUGAUGACUCCAUGCUGUCCCCAGUCCACCUGGCCGUGCUGCUGCUCCAGUUUCAACUGUUCUGCCUGCGGCUAUGGAACCCUGACCUGUUCACUGGACGUGCUACCUGUCCCAGAUCUGCUGUUUUCAACUCUCUAGAGACAGCAGAAGUGGUAGAGAUACUCUGAAUGAUCGGCUAUGAAAAGCCAACUGACAUUUAAUCCUGAGGCACUGACCUGUUGCACCCUCUACAACCACUGUGAUUAUUAUUAUUUGACCCUGCUGGUCAUCUAUGAACAUUUGAACAUCUUGGCCAUGUUCUGUUAUAAUCUCCACCCGGCACAGUCAGAAAAGGACUGGCCACCCCUCAUAGCCUGGUUCCUCUCUAGGUUUCUUCCUAGGUUUCUGGCCUUUCUAGGGAGAUUUUCCAAUUUUCCAAGCCACCAUGCUUCUAUAUCUGCAUUGCUUGCUGUUUGGGAUUUUAGGCUUGGUUUCUAUACAGCACUUAGUGACAUUCGCUGAUGUAAGAAGGGCUAUAUAAAUACAUUUGCUUGAUAUUUA